rnacentral:rRNA from 1 species
AAACCAAACUCUUGAUAUUUUAUGUCUCUCUGAGUAAACUUUUAAAUAAGUCAAAACUUUCAACAACGGAUCUCUUGGUUCUGGCAUCGAUGAAGAACGCAGCGAAAUGCGAUAAGUAAUGUGAAUUGCAGAAUUCAGUGAAUCAUCGAAUCUUUGAACGCACAUUGCGCUCGCCAGUAUUCUGGCGAGCAUGCCUGUUCGAGCGUCAUUUCAACCAUCAAGCUCUGCUUGCGUUGGGGAUCCGCGGCUGCCCGCGGUCCUUCAAAAACAGUGGCGGGCUCGCUAGUCACACCGAGCGUAGUAACUCUACAUCGUUCUGGUCGUGCGGCGGGUUCUUGCCGUAAAACCCCCCAAUUUCUAAGGUUGACCUCGGAUCA